UACGUAGGUGGCAAGCGUUGUCCGGAUUUACUGGGCGUAAAGGGCGUGCAGGCGGUCUGUUAAGUCUAGGGUGAAAGCUCCCCGGCUCAACUGGGAGAGGUCCUUGGAUACUGGCGGACUUGAGGGAGGUAGAGGAAAGUGGAAUUCCCCGGUGUAGUGGUGGAAUGCGUAGAUAUCGGGAGGAACACCAGUGGCGAAGGCGGCUUCCUGGACCGGUUCUGACACUGAGGAGCGAAAGCGUGGGGAGCGAUCCGG
rnacentral:rRNA from 1 species